GCAUAUCAAUAAGCGGAGGAAAAGAAACCAACAGGGAUUGCCCUAGUAACGGCGAGUGAAGCGGCAACAGCUCAAAUUUGAAAUCUGGCUUCGGCCCGAGUUGUAAUUUGUAGAGGAAGCUUCUGGCGCGGCGCUGUCCGAGUCCCCUGGAACGGGGCGCCAUAGAGGGUGAGAGCCCCGUAUGGAUGGAUGCCUAGCCUGUGUGAAGCUCCUUCGACGAGUCGAGUAGUUUGGGAAUGCUGCUCAAAAUGGGAGGUAAAUUCCUUCUAAAGCUAAAUAUUGGCCAGAGACCGAUAGCGCACAAGUAGAGUGAUCGAAAGAUGAAAAGCACUUUGAAAAGAGGGUUAAAAAGCACGUGAAAUUGUUGAAAGGGAAGCGCUUAUGACCAGACUUGCGCCGGGCUGAUCAUCCGGUGUUCUCACCGGUGCACUCUGCCCGGCUCAGGCCAGCAUCAGUUCUGGCGGGGGGAUAAAGGCCCAGGGAACGUAGCUCCUUCGGGAGUGUUAUAGCCCUGGGUGCAAUACCCCCGCUGGGACUGAGGUUCGCGCUCUGCAAGGAUGCUGGCGUAAU
rnacentral:rRNA from 1 species